GGGCACAUGGUGUAGUUGGUUAUCACGCUCGCUUUGCACGACCUGUAUUCGUCGGAGUAUUUCAUAUGCGAGUGGUCCUCGGUUCAAUUCCGGGUGUGUCCA